UACGUAGGGUGCAAGCGUUGUCCGGAAUUAUUGGGCGUAAAGAGCUCGUAGGUGGCUUGUCACGUCGGGUGUGAAAGCUUGGGGCUUAACUCCAGGUCUGCAUUCGAUACGGGCUGGCUAGAGGUAGGUAGGGGAGAACGGAAUUCCUGGUGUAGCGGUGAAAUGCGCAGAUAUCAGGAGGAACACCGGUGGCGAAGGCGGUUCUCUGGGCCUUACCUGACGCUGAGGAGCGAAAGCGUGGCGAGCGAACAGG
rnacentral:rRNA from 1 species